UGGGGGAUAUUGCACAAUGGGCGAAAGCCUGAUGCAGCGACGCCGCGUGGGGGAUGAAGGCCUUCGGGUUGUAAACUUCUUUUGCUCUGAACAAGGCGCACCAUGGGGUGUGUUGAGUGUAGGGGUUGAUUAGCGCCGGCUAACUACGUGCCAGCAGCCGCGGUAAUACGUAGGGCGCGAGCGUUGUCCGGAAUUAUUGGGCGUAAAGGGCUUGUAGGUGGCUGGUUGCGUCUGUCGUGAAAGCUCAUGGAUUAACUGUGGGUUUGCGGUGGGUACGGGCUGGCUUGAGUGCAGUAGGGGAGGCUGGAAUUCCUGGUGUAGCGGUGGAAUGCGCAGAUAUCAGGAGGAAUACCGGUGGCGAAGGCGGGUCUCUGGGCUGUUACUGACACUGAGGAGCGAAAGCAUGGGGAGCGAACAGG
rnacentral:rRNA from 1 species